UACGUAGGGGGCAAGCGUUGUCCGGAAUCAUUGGGCGUAAAGCGCGUGUAGGCGGCCCGAUAAGUCCGCUGUGAAAGUCCAGGGCUCAACCCUGGAAUGCCGGUGGAUACUGUCGGGCUCGAGUCCGGAAGAGGCGAGUGGAAUUCCUGGUGUAGCGGUGAAAUGCGCAGAUAUCAGGAGGAACACCAAUGGCGAAGGCAGCUCGCUGGGACGUAACUGACGCUGAGACGCGAAAGCGUGGGGAGCAAACAGG
rnacentral:rRNA from 1 species